AUGCCGGUGAGCAGGAUCGCCAUCGGCGCCCCGGGGGAGCUGUCCCACCCGGACACCUUCCGCGCCGGCGUCGCCGAGUUCAUCUCCAUGCUCAUCUUCGUCUUCGCCGGCUCAGGCUCCGGCAUGGCCUUCGGCAAGCUGACUGACGGCGGCGCGACGACGCCGGCGGGGCUGAUCGCGGCGGCGCUGGCGCACGCGUUCGCGCUCUUCGUGGCCGUGUCCGUGGGCGCCAACAUCUCGGGCGGGCACGUGAACCCGGCCGUCACAUUCGGCGCCUUCGUGGGCGGCAACAUCAGCCUGCUCAAGGCGGUGGUGUACUGGGUGGCGCAGCUGCUCGGCUCCGUCGUGGCCUGCCUCCUCCUCAAGAUCGCCACCGGCGGCGAGGCCGUGGGCGCCUUCUCGCUCUCCGCCGGCGUCGGCGUCUGGAACGCCGUGGUCUUCGAGAUCGUCAUGACCUUCGGGCUCGUCUACACGGUGUACGCCACGGCGGUCGACCCCAAGCGCGGCGACCUCGGGGUCAUCGCGCCCAUCGCCAUCGGCUUCAUCGUCGGCGCCAACAUCCUCGCCGGCGGCGCCUUCGACGGCGCCUCCAUGAACCCCGCCGUCUCCUUCGGCCCCGCUGUCGUCACCGGCGUCUGGGAGAACCACUGGGUGUACUGGCUCGGCCCCUUCGCCGGCGCCGCCAUCGCCGCCCUCGUCUACGACAUCUGCUUCAUCGGCCAGCGGCCCCACGAGCAGCUCCCCACCGCCGACUACUGA
rnacentral:rRNA from 1 species